GCUCACCUGUCACAAAGUGACAGGGUGAGCUUUUGUGAUCGCUAUUCGUCCGGCGUCCGUCCGGCGUCCGGCCGUCCGUCCGUCCGUCCGUAAACUUUUACUUUAAAUGACAUCUCCUCAUAAACCACUAAGCCAAUUUCAUCCAAACUUCACAGGAAUGUUCCUUUGGUGGUCACCUUUAAAAAUUGUUCAAAGAAUUUAAUUCCAUGCAGAACUCUGGUUGCCAUGGCAACCGAAAGAAAAAACUUUAAAUAUCUUCUUUUAAAAAACCAUAAGAGCUAGAGCUUAGAUAUUUGGCUUGAAACAUCUUCUAGUGAGUGUCUACCAAGUUUGUUCAAAUAAAAGCCCUGGGGUCAAAAUUGGCCCCGCCCCGGGGGGUCAUUGAUUUUCCCUAUAUACAUAUAGUAAAAACUUAAAAAAUCUUCUUUUAAAGAACCAAAAGAGCUACAGCUAAGAUAUUUAGCAUGAAACAUGUUCUAAUGGGUGUCUACCAAGUUUGUUCAAAUAAAAGCCCUGGGGUCAAAAUUGGCCCCGCCCCGGGGGGUCAUUGAUUUUGCCUAUAUGCAUAUAGUAAAAACUUAAAAAAUCUUUUUUAAAGAACUCAAAGAGCUAUGGCUAAGAUAUUUAGCAUCAAACAUGUUCUAAUAGGUGUCUACCAAGUUUGUUCAAAUAAAAGCCCUGGGGUCAAAAUUGGCCCCGCCCCAGGGGGGUCAUUGAUUUUCCCUUUAUGCAUAUAGUAAAAACUUAAAAAAUCUUCUUUUAAAGAACCAAAAGAGUUAAACCUAAGAUAUUUAGCAUGAAACAUGUUCUAAUGGGUGUCUACCAAGUUUGUUCAAAUAAAAGCCCUGGGGUCAAAAUUGGCACCGCCCCCGGGGGGUCAUUGAUUUUUCCUCUAUGUAUAUAGUAAAAACUUAAAAAAUCUUCUUUUAUAGAACCAAAAGAGCUAGAGGUAAGAUAUUUAGCAUGAAACAUGUUCUAAUGGGUGUUUACCAAGUUUGUUCAAAUAAAAGCCCUGGGGUCAAAAUUGGCCCCGCCCCAGGGGGUCAUUGAUUUUCCCUACAUGCAUAUUAAGUAAAAACUUAAGAAAUCUUCUUUUAAAGAACCAAAAGAGCUACAGCUUAGAUAUUCAGCAUGAAACAUGUUCUAAUGGGUGUCUACCAAGUUUGUUCAAAUAAAAGCCCUGGGGUCAAAAUUGGCCCUGCCCCGGGGGGUCAUUGAUUUUCCCUAUAUGCAUAUAGUAAAAACUUAAAAAAUCUUCUUUUAAAGAACUCAAAGAGCUAUGGCUAAGAUAUUUAGCAUCAAACAUGUUCUAAUAGGUGUCUACCAAGUUUGUUCAAAUAAAAGCCCUGGGGUCAAAAUUGGCACCGCCCCGGGGGUCAUUGAUUUUCCUUAUAUGUGUAUAGCAAAAACUUAAAAAUCUUCUUUGAAAAAACCCAAAUAGCUAAAGUUAAGAUAUUAACCAUGA